rnacentral:rRNA from 1 species
UACGUAGGGUGCGAGCGUUGUCCGGAAUUAUUGGGCGUAAAGAGCUUGUAGGCGGUCUGUCGCGUCUGCUGUGAAAAUCCGGGGCUCAACCCCGGACUUGCAGUGGGUACGGGCAGACUAGAGUGUGGUAGGGGAGACUGGAAUUCCUGGUGUAGCGGUGAAAUGCGCAGAUAUCGGGAGGAACACCUAUGGCGAAGGCAGCUCGCUGGGACGUUACUGACGCUGAGACGCGAAAGCCAGGGGAGCAAACGGG